GCGCUCACUUCGGCAGCACAUAUACUAAAAUUGGAAUGAUACAUCGAGGAGGAGCAUGGCCCCUUGUGCAAGGAUGGCAUACAAAUUAGUGAAGAUUCCAUAUUUUUA
ensembl:snRNA U6 U6 spliceosomal RNA